rnacentral:rRNA from 1 species
UACGUAGGGGGCGAGCGUUGUCCGGAUUUAUUGGGCGUAAAGAGCGUGUAGGCGGCCUGACAAGUCUGCUGUGAAAACUCGAGGCUCAACCUCGAGAUGUCGGCGGAAACUGUCUGGCUAGAGUCCGGAAGAGGAGAGUGGAAUUCCUGGUGUAGCGGUGAAAUGCGCAGAUAUCAGGAGGAACACCAAUGGCGAAGGCAGCUCGCUGGGACGUGACUGACGCUGAGACGCGAAAGCGUGGGGAGCAAACAGG